GUCCACACCAUGGAGUCGGAAAUGCCCCGAAGUCAGUGACCCAACCGUAAGGAGGGAGCUGCCGAAGGUGGAGCCGGUAAUGGGGUGAAGUCGUAACAAGGUAAC
rnacentral:rRNA from 1 species